UAGGGAAUCUUCGGCAAUGGGGGGAACCCUGACCGAGCAACGCCGCGUGAGUGAAGAAGGUUUUCGGAUCGUAAAGCUCUGUUGUUAAGGAAGAACGAGUGUGAGAAUGGAAAGUUCAUACUGUGACGGUACUUAACCAGAAAGGGACGGCUAACUACGUGCCAGCAGCCGCGGUAAUACGUAGGUCCCGAGCGUUGUCCGGAUUUAUUGGGCGUAAAGCGAGCGCAGGCGGUUAGAUAAGUCUGAAGUUAAAGGCAGUGGCUCAACCAUUGUAGGCUUUGGAAACUGUUUAACUUGAGUGCAGAAGGGGAGAGUGGAAUUCCAUGUGUAGCGGUGAAAUGCGUAGAUAUAUGGAGGAACACCGGUGGCGAAAGCGGCUCUCUGGUCUGUAACUGACUCUGAGGCUCGAAAGCGUGGGGAGCGAACAGG
rnacentral:rRNA from 1 species